rnacentral:lncRNA from 1 species
UUUACAAGACUCUCAAAUGAGUGUAUUCCAGAGCUGGCUUUUAUACAUAGUUUGCUUACAUUAGCCAUGGUAUAUGCAAAUACAGUACAGACUAUAAGAUUUAUUACUUCCUUAUAUUACAUUAUUCUGACAAUGGAAAGAUAAGCUUUUGCAUACGUCUGGAAAAGAAUAUCCUUAAAAUCGGAAUGGGCAAGACAUCCUGAAAUUUAGCAUUGUCUUACAUCCUAUAGAAGAAAUACCUUAGUCUGUCACAGUCAGCAUAUUAUGUCGUAUAUUGAGUUUUAAGUAUUCAAUAUUCCUUCAGUCAGCAAUAAUCAUGUUAUAAACCUUAUAAAAGCAUAAAAUACAUAUAAACAAGUUAACUAUUUAAUAUUCUUACAUUCCCCUCUUUGAGCAAUAAAACAAUUGCUCAUCUUAUCGAUAAAAUCUUACCAGGACAGAGAAACUUCCACAUGGUAUUUUCAGGGGUGCUAGUCACUCCCUGCGGGACUUUCAUUAAUUUCUUCACCUCGAUUCCCAUGUGGUAAUUCCUAAGGCCCAGUUUUAAAGAUGGGUUGAUACUCUACAGUGGCAGAGAGGAGAAUUUCUAAUUGUUUCUGUUCUGCAUUAUGGAUUAAUUUCUGUACUCACUUCCUCAAUGUACAACUAAGGUGACAGUUAUAUAAAAUCAUACACAAUAAAAUCAGGACUAUAAUAACAAAAUGAUAGAAGAAUGAUUUCAUUAUCUGGAAUCCAGUAGGGGACCAACCAGUAAAGCAUUGUACCAAUGAUGGACUAAAUCAUUCUGAAUCUGUGAACUCACCUUAAGGAGUUCUCCUUUUAGGAUAUGUGUGGCUACCUGUGUGUGUUAUCUCUUAAAGGUUCACAGAAAGAUAUAGUCCCCUGUGUAUGUGGGUGCCCACCAGGUUAAAUUCUUGGCAAAAAGAUCAUAAACUGGUACUGGUAAUGUGUUAAAUUGACAAGCUAAUUUAACAUCCUUUGAUGAUGUAUGAUAUAAUGUAAAAUAGCAUGAGCAUGAAAUAUGUGAAACAUUACCAGUUAACCAUCCAUUGCAUUUACUGGAUUGGGGUUUUAGAAGUAACCAUUCAUUAUCUGUGAGGUUACACAUUCCUCUAAUCUUCUCUAGUUUAGGAAUCAUUAGUGUGUUUUCUAAUGCCAAUCCUUGUUGUUGUAUCCAUAAAUACCUGAUGGCACAAGUACUCCAGUUACUUAGACCUGUAGUGAAUUUCAUAGUUGCAACAGUUAAAUUAUCUAAAUAAUUAUACAUUGAUUUAUCUAAAUCCAAUCCUAUAACCUGUGAUUUAACAACAGUUGGAGCCCAGUUUGCAGUAGCAUGAAAACCAGUCCCUAUAUGCAUCCUGCUGUGUUUAACUUAUUCUUGAGGGUCUCCAUAUCUAUAACUAUUUAGUAUACCCAUAGUGGUUCCAGCACCUCCUAACAGUGUGUCAUACCAUUCCCUUUUCUGCCUUUUGUUUGUUGUGUUACAUAAUGUUACAACAGGAGUAGUGAUUUUUAAUUACACGUGUACAGCUUGUAAGAAGGCAGUUGUAUUAAUACAUGUGGACGGAAUAGGUGUGUGUGUGUCGUGUUUGACUUUUGGUUCUAUGGUAGAGGAUAAAGGACAGUAAUAAGGUGUAAAAAUAUAAGGUAGUGUAUAGUUCUCAAUUGUAGUGUCGUUCAUAAUGACUAACAUUUGUCCCCUUUUCCAAUUAAUGAUACCAGUUGUAUAAUCAUUAUUAAAAGUAAUAAGGCCUGUCUGUUUACAUUGAUAUGCAACCUUAACUGUGCACAUUUCUGCGUUAUAAGAUCUAACAAUUUUCUGUGAACCUUUAAACAAACAUAAUGCAUCGGUUUCAUUAGCUGUAGACACAUUUCAUAUGGGUAACUGGUACUUAUAAGGGUUACUAUUUGUCCAAUUCAUCCAAAUGCGUUCAUUGAAUGAAUGAUUGCAUAUUGCAUGCUGAUAGAAAGGUGGUGGAGAAAGGUUCUUGAGGGGCGUGUGUGACGAAUGCUAGAUGAGGGGCUAAGGCCUAAUUGGGCUGGGGGUAUUGAAGAAUUGUUCAUCAUGUCAGAGUCUUUUUCCAGAACUUGCCAUUGACUUGUACUCAUAAUGGCAUUCAAGGAACAAUAUCAGAGGGAGUAUAACAACUCCAGAAAGCAUAGCACACAACAUAAUCUUGGUCUCAGGUACGUAUGAUCCUCUCAAUCUACGAUAUGAUGUAAAAGCCAUGAUGAGGAGAAAUUCUUCUGUUUCCGAGCGAGGAGUGGUGUUGUCUUCCUUGGUUCCCCUCUUUGGACACAGCUUCACUCGGGAUGCGUGAAUCCAGAUGUCAUGGGAAUCUGUGGACAGCGGUUCUGGGUACAGCAAUCACAGUAGCAGGUGGUCCAAAAGGGUAUCCUCCUUUCUUGGUCCUGUUCAGCUGACGGAUAUACACCUUGUCACCGGGCUGGUAUGAAUGAGUAGGUUCCUGUGAAGGUAAGGGAAAACUGCGAAGAAACAUUGUCAUACAUACCAUUCGGUUUUAUCAACAAUUCCUGUACAUAUUGUUCUUGUAUAAGCUGUAAAUCCCCAGACAUUAUAACAAGCGGUUCCCUGGCCCAGGGUGUGGGAAAAGGUCAUCCCAUCAAAAUCUCAAAUGGAGAUAAUUUAGUCACCUUGUGGGGAUUCAUUCUUAUCUCAGCUAAAAUAGCUGGUAGAUAUCUAGUCCAAUUUACCCAUGUUCCUGGGUAAAUUCUGGGCUUUUCUUUAAUAGUCCUAUUCAUCCUUUCAACUACCCCUGUAUUCUGUGGAUGAUAGGGUAUAUGAAACUGCCAGGUAACUUGCAAGAAUUUAGCAAGUUCCUGGGCAACCCCACUUGCAAAAACCGGGCC